rnacentral:rRNA from 1 species
CAGCCGUAAACAAUGUGCGUUAGGUGUGUCGGUAACCACGCGUUACUGAUGCGCCGAAGAGAAAUCGUGAAACGCACCACCUGGGAAGUACGGUCGCAAGGCUGAAACUUAAAGGAAUUGGCGGGGGAGCACCACAACAGGUGGAGCCUGCGGUUUAAUUGGAUUCAACGCCGGACAUCUCACCGGAUAAGACAGCUGAAUGAUUGUCAAUCUGAAGGUUUUACAUGACUAGCUGAGAGGAGGUGCCAUGGCGUCAGUGACU